CGGUGUUUCUGGAUGAGAUUUACAUUUCAGUCAGUGCACUGAGGAAAGCAGACUGCCCUCCCUGGGGGGAUGGGCCUCAUCCAAUCCAUUGAAGGCCUGAAAAGAACAAAAAGGCUGACCCUCUCACAGGUAAGAGGGAACUCCUCCUGCCUGACUACCUUCAAGCUGCAACAUUGAACAGUGCUUUCUUGCCUUCUGACCCAAACUGAAACAUCAGCCCUUGCUGGGUCUCAAGCCUACCAACCUUCAGACUCGAAUGACACCUUCGGCUCUCCCGGGUCUCCAGCCUGCUGACUGCAGAUCUCAGGACUUGUCAGCCUCCACCAGCAGAACACAAACCAGAGGUUGGAGGUGGAGCAGCCACUUUGAGGCCAUGAGGCAGCAAGCAUGAGGACACAGCCAACACGCUAAGAAUGGGAAAAGGAAGAGAUACAGUCAGGGCCCCUGCUGGGCGCCUUUGCAAUAACCCUGGCCUGUCUACUCUAGACUUCUGGGACCAUAAAGUCGUGUGACUUGCAGCUGGAGAGGACACUGCCGCCAUCCCAUUCAAACUCCUCUUGUCAGUAGGGUGCCUCAUGACCUUGGACAAGUCACCUCUCUGUGCCUCAGUUUCCUCAACCGGAAGCUUCUUUCCAUGAGAGAAAAAAAGGAUUCAUCAAAAAGCCAGCACAGAAGAGUUUGAGGAAAGCCGAAGAGGAAGAGAAAGAAACAGUGCCGGUUCUGUGCCCCAGAAAGCUCCUGGCUUCCGGAAGCUCAGGUGGAGUC